rnacentral:rRNA from 1 species
UACGAAGGGGGCUAGCGUUGCUCGGAAUCACUGGGCGUAAAGCGCACGUAGGCGGAUUGCUAAGUCAGGGGUGAAAUCCUGGAGCUCAACUCCAGAACUGCCUUUGAUACUGGCAACCUUGAGUCCGGGAGAGGUGAGUGGAACUGCGAGUGUAGAGGUGAAAUUCGUAGAUAUUCGCAAGAACACCAGUGGCGAAGGCGGCUCACUGGUCCGGUUCUGACGCUGAGGCGCGAAAGCGUGGGGAGCAAACAGG